UACGAAGGGUGCAAGCGUUAAUCGGAAUUACUGGGCGUAAAGCGUGCGUAGGCGGUUUCUUAAGUCUGCUGUGAAAUCCCCGGGCUCAACCUGGGAACUGCAGUGGAAACUGGACAACUAGAGUGUGGUAGAGGGUAGCGGAACUCCCGGUGUAGCAGUGAAAUGCGUAGAGAUCGGGAGGAACAUCCAUGGCGAAGGCAGCUACCUGGACCAACACUGACACUGAGGCACGAAAGCGUGGGGAGCAAACAGG
rnacentral:rRNA from 1 species